rnacentral:lncRNA from 1 species
AGAUCUCCAUACCCCGUCCGGCAUGUGAGACCACAAUCCCGGUAGGGUUCCCUACGGACCCGGUCCGUCCACCAUCUCCCAGGAUAUCUAGUCAGGCUGACCCCAUCAUACAAUUAUCAGUCUACACAAUGUUUCAUUUCCCUUUUCCUCAAUAAGCAUCAUCAAUUCACAUUUAAACAAGCAAAUUGUAAUUCAUGCCGAACAGACAACAUACAGUAUCAGUUCUUCAGUCAUUCAACCCAU